rnacentral:rRNA from 1 species
GACAGAGGGUGCAAACGUUGUUCGGAAUUACUGGGCGUAAAGCGCGUGUAGGCUGUCCCGCAAGUCGGAUGUGAAAGCCCUGGGCUCAACCUAGGAAGUGCACUCGAAACUGCGGGACUGGAGUCCUGGAGAGGAAGGCGGAAUUCUCGGUGUAGAGGUGAAAUUCGUAGAUAUCGAGAGGAACACCGGUGGCGAAGGCGGCCUUCUGGACAGUGACUGACGCUGAGACGCGAAAGCGUGGGGAGCAAACAGG